rnacentral:rRNA from 1 species
UCCGUAGGUGAACCUGCGGAAGGAUCAUUAUUGAAUUAAUGUAGAGUUGGUUGUAGCUGGCAUUUCCUUUAAUUUGGGGAUUGCAUGUGCACACCUUCUCUUUCAUCCAUACACCCCUGUGCACUUGUGAGACAGAUUGCUUUUUGGAGGGGGACUUUAUUGGACCUUUCUUUUUGGCUCUCUGUCUACUUAAUUAAUUUAAACUCAAUUUAUUUUAAAAUGAAUGUAAUGGAUGUAACACAUCUAAUACUAAGUUUCAACAACGGAUCUCUUGGCUCUCGCAUCGAUGAAGAACGCAGCGGAAUGCGAUAAGUAAUGUGAAUUGCAGAAUUCAGUGAAUCAUCGAAUCUUUGAACGCACCUUGCGCUCCUUGGUAUUCCUUGGAGCAUGCCUGUUUGAGUAUCAUGAAAUCUUCAAAGUAAUAUCUUUUGUUAAUUCAAUUGGUUUUGCUUUGGUAUUGGAGGUCUAUUGCAGCUUCACACCUGCUCCUCUUUGUUCAUUAGCUGGAUCUCAGUGUUAUGCUUGGUUCCACUCAGCGUGAUAAGUUAUCUAUCGCUGAGGACACUUUUUCAUACUCUGUAAAAAGAGUUUGGAGGGUGGCCAAGGUAAAUGCAGAUGAACCGCUUCUAAUAGUCCAUUGACUUGGACAAUAAAUAUUUAUGAUCUGAUCUCAAAUCAGGUAGGACUACCCGCUGAACUUAAGCAUAUCAAUAAGCGGAGGA